UUAUACGUGAUUGGUAAAAUAAAAUACAAAGGAGGUUGGAAGUGAUUUUGGUCGAAGGAAAUGUGUUACUAAAAAGGCAAUAGAGAAUGUAAAGAUUGUGUGUCUAGCUAAUAAAAGAAUGGAAUUUGCGUGUUUUUAUUAGAGAAGAAAAAUGAAGCAACACAUUGUUUAUGACCUAAAGAACUUUAUGGAAUGUGCUUGUGGAAACAGAAAUGAUGCAUUCAUUGGGAUGGGGCUUUGGCUUGCUUUUCAGUUUCAGUAUUUCUAAUACGUUGGCUUCUUUUUUUUUCCUUCUCAUUUGAGUUUUUCUAUAAAAAAGAAAAUAAUCUUUUCACACAUAAUGUAAUCUUAUUCAAGAUAUUGUCGAAUGUGAAAUAUAAAUAUCUCUAUUAGAUGGGGGUUGUGUUUUAAAUUAUUCGACUCUACAUGUGAAGUAUACACAACUCAUGAAUUAGUUUAACUUAAAUUGAUUCUUUCAAGUUGUGAAUUGUCAUGAGUAAAUGAUAAUAAUGAUAGUUGUAUCAUAAGUUCAAAGUUAAAUAACAUGAUAUAGGAGUGAAGAAGUUUGAAUAAAAGUAAGAGACAGAUUAGCAAUGUUCCAUUUAAUGAUUUUCUAUGAUUAGAAGGUGAUCUAAUGGUGUAUGCCUACAAGAUGAAAUAUAUAUUGAGUUAAUGCACAUUUCUUAUGUUUUCUAUUCUUCCCUAUUGUUGUAGUUAUUUAUUCAUAAUCUAACUAAUUAACAAAUAUUUAUAUUUUAUUAUUUUCAAUUAUAUUUAUUAUGAGUUCCACUUAUUAAAGGAUAUCACAACGUUAACAAACUUUUAUAUGCUACUAAGUGUUAGUUGGAAUUUCGAUGUUGGAAAAGAAUAUAUUGUUUUCGACGAAGAGUUGAGAAGGCAUAGUCGAAGAAGACUUUUGUUGAAGAAGGUUUGGUCUAGGACUUAGAAAUAUUCUUGGAUUCAGAUUCACUUUUCGACGAAGGUGUCCGUUUGGGGUUGCGUUCGACGAGCGUGAUUCAAAUUAAGGCUCAUAACCGUUUUUUGGCCUUAUUCGUUUCUUGAGAAGACACGUGGAAAGCAGUGAGUAGCGAAAUCCAUGCAAGCGAGAACGUGUCAUCUUUUGGAGAAGAGACCGUUCGUUACCGUUAUUUUCGAUUUAUUAUAAAUAGGGAUCUUAGUGAUUAGGAUUGGGGUGUUCCAUUUUGUAUAAAAACUCACAUAUUACUCAAAGUAUCUGUGUUAUUGAAAAAUGAGUUCUUGAGUGCAAUGUACGU
rnacentral:lncRNA from 1 species